CCUACGGGAGGCAGCAGUAGGGAAUAUUGCUCAAUGGGGGAAACCCUGAAGCAGCAACGCCGCGUGGAGGAUGAAGGUUUUAUGAUUGUAAACUCCUUUUGUUAGAGAAGAUAAUGACGGUAUCUCACGAAUAAGCACCGGCUAACUCCGUGCCAGCAGCCGCGGUAAUACGGAGGGUGCAAGCGUUACUCGGAAUCACUGGGCGUAAAGGGUGCGCAGGCGGGCUUGUAAGUCAGAUGUGAAAUCCUGUAGCUUAACUACAGAACUGCAUUUGAAACUAUGAGUCUAGAGUGUGGGAGAGGUAGGUGGAAUUCUUGGUGUAGGGGUAAAAUCCGUAGAUAUCAAGAGGAAUACUCAUUGCGAAGGCGACCUACUGGAACAUUACUGACGCUCAUGCUCGAAAGUGUGGGGAGCAAACAGGAUUAGAUACCCGUGUAGUC
rnacentral:rRNA from 1 species